rnacentral:rRNA from 1 species
GACGAACGCUGGCGGCGUGCUUAACACAUGCAAGUCGAACGAAGAGCGAUGGAGGCUUGCUUCUAUCAAUCUUAGUGGCGAACGGGUGAGUAACGCGUAAUCAACCUGCCCUUCAGAGGGGGACAACAGUUGGAAACGACUGCUAAUACCGCAUACGAUCUAAUCUCGGCAUCGAGGAUAGAUGAAAGGUGGCCUCUACAUGUAAGCUAUCACUGAAGGAGGGGAUUGCGUCUGCUUAGCUAGUUGGAGGGGUAACGGCCCACCAAGGCGAUGAUCAGUAGCCGGUCUGAGAGGAUGAACGGCCACAUUGGGACUGAGACACGGCCCAGACUCCUACGGGAGGCAGCAGUGGGGAAUCUUCCGCAAUGGACGAAAGUCUGACGGAGCAACGCCGCGUGAGCGAUGACGGCCUUCGGGUUGUAAAGCUCUGUUAAUCGGGACGAAAGGCCUUCUUGCGAAUAGUGAGAAGGAUUGACGGUACCGGAAUAGAAAGCCACGGCUAACUACGUG